rnacentral:tRNA from 1 species
GGAGAGGUGGCCGAGUGGCCGAAGGCACACCCUUGCUAAGGGUGCAUACUCGAAAGAGUAUCGAGGGUUCGAAUCCCUCCUUCUCCGCCA